rnacentral:rRNA from 1 species
GACGAACGCUGGCGGCGUGCCUAACACAUGCAAGUCGAACGGGGUAGAGAGCUUCGGUUUUCUACUUAGUGGCGAACGGGUGAGUAACGCGUGAGGAACCUGCCUCUCAGUGGGGGACAACAGUUGGAAACGACUGCUAAUACCGCAUAACACUUCCGAAUGGCAUCAUUUGGAAGUCAAAGCUUUAUGUGCUGAGAGAUGGCCUCGCGUCUGAUUAGCUAGUUGGCGGGGUAACGGCCCACCAAGGCGACGAUCAGUAGCCGGUCUGAGAGGAUGAACGGCCACAUUGGGACUGAGAUACGGCCCAG